ACCGCCCCGCCCCGCACCGCGCAGCCGCGCCGGGGCGGGGGCCGGGGCCAGCCGGCGUCUGCGGCACCUGCCCGGCGGAGCGCCUCGCUCCCUGCGGCCGGCGCCCGCCCGCCCGCCGAGAUGGCGGAUCCCGCAGAGUGCAGCAUCAAAGUGAUGUGCCGGUUCCGGCCCCUCAACGAGGCAGAGAUCCUCCGGGGGGACAAAUUCAUCCCCAAAUUCAAGGGCGAGGAGACGGUGGUCAUCGGGCAAGGGAAGCCGUAUGUCUUUGAUAGAGUGUUACCUCCUAAUACAACCCAGGAACAAGUUUAUAAUGCCUGUGCCAAGCAGAUUGUUAAAGAUGUCCUUGAAGGGUACAAUGGCACAAUCUUUGCUUAUGGACAGACAUCAUCAGGAAAAACGCAUACUAUGGAGGGGAAGCUGCACGACCCUCAGCUCAUGGGAAUCAUUCCAAGAAUUGCACAUGACAUCUUUGAUCACAUCUAUUCCAUGGAUGAAAACCUGGAGUUUCAUAUAAAGGUUUCCUACUUUGAGAUAUAUUUGGACAAAAUAAGGGACCUACUCGAUGUGUCAAAGACAAACCUCGCUGUACAUGAAGAUAAAAACAGAGUCCCAUAUGUUAAGGGUUGUACAGAAAGAUUUGUAUCUAGUCCUGAAGAAGUUUUGGAUGUCAUUGAUGAAGGGAAAGCUAAUCGUCAUGUAGCCGUUACAAAUAUGAAUGAACACAGCUCUAGGAGCCACAGUAUCUUCCUCAUUAAUAUUAAACAAGAGAAUGUGGAAACUGAGAAGAAACUCAGUGGAAAGCUUUACCUGGUAGACUUGGCUGGCAGCGAGAAGGUCAGCAAAACUGGAGCGGAGGGCGCUGUUCUUGACGAAGCUAAAAAUAUCAAUAAGUCUUUGUCUGCUUUAGGCAAUGUGAUAUCUGCCUUGGCAGAAGGAACUAAAACCCAUGUUCCAUACCGAGACAGCAAAAUGACCCGAAUACUUCAGGAUUCCCUUGGUGGGAACUGCAGAACCACCAUCGUGAUAUGCUGUUCUCCUUCUGUGUUCAACGAAGCAGAAACAAAGUCGACCCUGAUGUUUGGACAGCGAGCUAAGACGAUUAAGAACACGGUCUCUGUGAAUCUGGAGCUGACUGCGGAGGAGUGGAAGAAAAAGUACGAGAAGGAGAAAGACAAAAACAAGAGUCUAAAGAAUGUUAUCCAGCAUCUAGAGCUGGAACUGAACAGGUGGAGAAAUGGAGAAGCUGUGCCUGAAGAUGAACAGAUCAGUGCAAAGGACCAGAAGAACCUGGAGCCUUGUGAUAACACCCCGAUUAUUGACAACAUCACGCCGGUUGUUGCCAGCAUCUCGACAGAGGAGAAGCAGAAAUACGAUGAGGAGAUUGCCAGUCUCUACAGACAGCUGGAUGAUAAGGAUGAUGAAAUCAACCAGCAGAGCCAGUUGGCUGAAAAACUAAAGCAACAAAUGCUGGAUCAAGAGGAGCUUUUGGCCUCCACUAGGAGAGAUUAUGAGAAGAUUCAGGAGGAACUGACCCGUCUCCAGAUUGAGAACGAAGCAGCGAAAGAUGAAGUGAAAGAGGUCCUUCAAGCCCUGGAAGAAUUAGCUGUCAAUUAUGACCAGAAAUCCCAAGAAGUGGAGGACAAAACAAGGGCCAACGAGCAGCUGGCUGACGAGCUGGCACAGAAAAGUAGUGCCCUGACAGCGACCCAGAGGGAGCUGGGCCAGUUGCAGGAGCUCAGUAACCAUCAGAAGAAGAGAGCUACAGAAAUCUUGAACUUGCUGCUUAAGGACCUGGGAGAGAUUGGAGGAAUCAUUGGUACUAACGAUGUUAAAACAUUAGCAGAUGUGAACGGGGUGAUUGAGGAGGAGUUCACCAUGGCGCGGCUUUACAUCAGCAAGAUGAAGUCUGAGGUGAAGUCUCUGGUGAACCGCAGCAAGCAGUUGGAGAGUGCCCAGAUUGACUCCAACAGGAAGAUGAACGCCAGCGAGAGGGAGCUUGCAGCUUGCCAGCUCCUCAUUUCACAACAUGAAGCAAAGAUCAAGUCCCUUACAGACUACAUGCAAAAUAUGGAGCAGAAGAGAAGGCAGCUGGAAGAGUCACAGGACUCUCUCAAUGAAGAACUUGCCAAGUUACGUGCUCAAGAAAAAAUGCACGAAGUCAGUUUCAAGGAUAAGGAGAAGGAGCAUCUGACCCGGCUUCAGGACGCAGAGGAGAUGAAGAAGGCCCUGGAGCAGCAGAUGGAGAGUCACAGGGAAGCCCACCAGAAGCAGCUGUCCAGGCUGAGGGAUGAAAUUGAAGAGAAGCAGAAAAUAAUUGACGAAAUCAGAGAUAUGAAUCAGAAGCUGCAAUUGGAACAAGAGAAACUGAGCGCUGAUUAUGAUAAAUUAAAAAUUGAGGACCAGGAAAGAGAAAUGAAGCUGGAAAAGCUCAUACUGCUUAAUGAUAAAAGGGAACAAGCAAGAGAAGAUCUUAAGGGCCUGGAGGAAACAGUGGCAAGAGAACUUCAGACUCUUCACAACCUACGCAAACUGUUUGUGCAAGACCUCACCACCCGUGUUAAAAAAAGCGUUGAACUUGACAGCGAUGACGGAGGUGGAAGUGCUGCGCAGAAGCAGAAAAUUUCCUUUCUUGAGAACAACCUGGAACAGCUUACAAAGGUUCACAAACAGUUGGUACGUGAUAAUGCAGAUCUUCGUUGUGAGCUUCCUAAGCUGGAAAAACGACUUAGAGCUACGGCAGAGAGAGUUAAGGCCCUGGAGAGCGCACUGAAGGAGGCCAAGGAGAACGCCAUGCGAGACCGCAAACGGUACCAGCAGGAGGUAGAUCGCAUUAAGGAGGCUGUGAGAGCCAAAAACAUGGCACGGAGAGCACACUCCGCUCAAAUUGCCAAGCCCAUCCGCCCCGGUCAUUACCCAGCGUCUUCUCCAACGGCUGUCCAUGCCAUCCGAGGGGGAGGGAUGUCAAACUCCAGCUACUAUCACAACACCAAAUAGACGAGAAGUAAGACCAAAUUUUAGUAGGACUCCUUUGCUGAUAAUUUAACUGUGAAAAUUUGCAAUUUAAGUGAGGAGUGCCUUUGCAAGCUGCUGGUCAGUUCCACUUAGCAUGCUAAGGACUGUCAUUAAGUCACUAGCUUCUUUUUUUCCCCCCUCUUCAACCCGAAACACACCCUCUUCAUCCUGCGCGUCCUACAGCCAUCUGCAAUGCACUGGUCCCGGGUAUUUUGAGCUUCGUAGGAUCUCCACGUGUACAGAAGUGUUCAGCUCAACUCUUCUACAGAUACUUGUACAAUGUAUUUAACAUAACCAUCUAAGUAACGGUAGGAAGUCUGCCACUCAGAAUCUCUCACUGACUGCGUUUGACCCCUUGGCGCUGGUUAGGUUGGGGCUUCUACACUCAGAUUGAUGCUUUUUCAAAGUCCUCUGUUGCGUCAGUAAAUCCCGACUUCUGGCAGCAGAGAAUUAAUUAUUCAAUGACCAAGUGCCAUCAAAGGCAGGUGAUUGUGCUCUGUCAUGACUGAUUUACUGUAUAAUAUACAUAUUAUUUUAUAUUUUUAGGGGAUGAAAAUGUGCUGCUAUAUGGUUUAAUUUUACUGCUUACAUUUUCAGAAGUAAAUUUCCCCAAAGAACCAUUUGUAAUAUCCUGAUAAAAUCUUUGGACUGUAUAAAAUAACCUUUAUUGCAGUACCUGGUAAAGAUCAAAUGGGAUGCAGAGAAAUCUGUUAGUAUAGAUCUAGGUUUUGAAGUUUGGUAGUUACAUGAAUAUAUCUGUGUGACCUAUCUUAAAAUUAAGAUCUGAUCUGCUUGUAGUUCUCCCUACAGUGGUGGGUUUUCCUGGAGUGUGAUGGCUAGCCAUGUGUUUGUAAGCGUUGUUCUCUAUGAAAUUUUGAAGGCUUUCAGAAUGCUGUGGAAAUCUUGUCUUGGAAAAGCCGACAAGCAUCUCCCCCCUUUCCCCUUCCCGCAUGCCUUCGGCAGGCCCCGAUCCAUUCACUCGGGAAUUCAGGUACCGGAGUGAACUGUCCCCUACCAGAACAGACGCUUUAAAGAAGCAAAAAAAAAAAGGAUAAUCCCCCAAACCCCAGACCCUACCUUAAAAAAAUUAUAUAGAGAGAGUCCAAAAGGAGGUGAGAGUUGUAUACUCAAGCCGUCCUUUGCAGAUCAAAUUUGGGAAUACGUUUGUUAGGAGGUGAAGAGCAUAUUGCAAGGGGAAAAGAAAGUCAUUGUAAGUUACAACAGGCAAGUCGUCCCACGGAUGGCACGCUUGUGCGCACGGAGGUAAGGAUGAGAUCGCUUGCCUUUCUCCGAUCUCUCUUUUUUGUGCCAGACAGAAAGUUUCCAUCUUCUCAGCACUGGGGGGCACUGGAAUCGUUCUGGGAAGGUUCCGCUGGCCGGCAGAAACUCCUGCUCCUCCUCCCGCUUCUGUGCCGCACACACAUAUCCUCCUUCCGCAGGUGUGCAGAGUACGCGCCCCUGCGUCCCAACGGAGCGCGGGUUCCAGGAAGGGUACGGCCCAGCACAGCCCUCUAGUCUUGUUUUGCAGACGUUUGCUCUUACUUAAUUUGCGAUUGAUUUUUUUUUUUUUUUAAAUUUCUGAACGUGUUUGUUAGUAGGCGUAGAACUAUUUAGUUAGUGUAGAGCGUUUUGAAAGAUGGUGAAUUGACUUUCGAUAUUUUUUUUCUACUGAAAUUAUUUAGGUUGUUGCAAAGUAAGUUGUACUUAAUUUAACUGUUGUUUUUUUUUUUUAAAUGUUGCACUAUUUUGGGGAGCGUUUUGCUAAAAAUAUUUAAUGAAGUUGCAAAUUUGCAUGUAUUUAAUUUAUUUUGUAUUUUUCAAAGUUUUAUAUUUUCUUUCUUUAUGUGCAUGUGCACUGCCAGAAAAAUGAACUGUGAACUUGCCAUAUGCAAUCUUUAAUAAAAUUACUGAUUCAGAACUACUCUGUGCUAUCGUAUCAGCUGUUCAGAGCUGAGAUUUCUACUAUGAACUAAUGAUCCUCUUGUUUUGGUUCUAAAACAGUUGUCUUGGAAAAGAUACCAAACUUAAUUGCUGUCAAAGAUUUUGUACUGUAGUGAAACUUUGGUUCUGUCUCUCGAAUUCAAAGUUGGGUAUGGAAGUAUGUUGUAGAUGCAGCAUUAGCUUAAAAACCGUAUUAAGUUCCUCGCAGCAUCACCGUUAGUUCCGUAUGUCAGUUGAGACGUCUCUCUUCAGUUUGAGUAAUAAGUUAGCUUGGACAUCUCUUAAUUGUGCUAGUGCUGAUCAGCCAGUCAGUUCAUCUAGCGAAAACAAUAUAAGUGUCUCCAAGUUAACUUCUUACAUCAAGACUGUCGGAGGCCUUUCUAUAACCGAAACGCUGAAAAGAUGCCUUAGGCUAAAAAUCUCAAAAAGAAAUGCAGAAGGUAUUGUCUCAAUUGGAAAUGAUUAAUUCCGUCAAUCGAACUUACUCUGCUUAUAUACAGAUUCUUGUUUUGUAAGCCUAUUUUAAUUAGGCAACUUAAGUUUGUAUUGCGUACUGUAUAUUCAACUUUUGUACCAUUUUUAAGUCUUACACAUUUUAUAUAUAGAAACGAAAACCACACAUCUGCUCUGCAGAGAUCAAAACCUGUCUCCUGCCAUUUCCACUACUUGAUGCUAUCUUACUUUCUUUGCUCUUUGAAUGUUGUGUUAUAUUUAUUCUAGGCUAAUUUAAAAGUUGUGAUUUGUAUAGCGCAAAUUAAAUUUCACAUCUUCAGAUGUCAUGCAUGGGACAAAUUUUGGUGGAAAUACUGUUCACAAAUGGAAAACGUACUUCAGAUGGAACUAAAGUGCAUAUUGUUCUUUUUGCUAGUAAUUAAAAAGUAUUUCCUGCUCAUUUGAGCUUCUCUUCAUGAUAUGUUCAAAUAUCUUGCGUUUGUCUUGAGUUCGUGUUUCAUCGACUUGUUUUCUCAAAAGCAAGGAAAGUUUUAAACCUGGAAAGAUCUUGGCUGAUGCAUUUUUAAGUUUGUAUUUAACUCAGCAAGGGUGAGAGCGGAUUAUCCUGAAUAUAUUGAAAACUAAAAAGUAAGUCACAGAAACUUAACUUCAAUAAUUUGUGCCUAGAGAACCUUAUGAGUAACUUUUAUAAAGCCUAAUGGACUGAGAUGCACGUUGGCCUGAAAUUUUGAUAAGUAAGGCUGGGAAAUACAAGAAAUAAAGAAUUUUAAGCUGAACAUUGUUUCAUUUGAAUAAAUGGGUAUUUAUACCAAAUGGUCAUACAGGUCCAAAAGGAAAAGGCCUAAUUAAAUUUCCCUUAUUGGAGGAGAAAGACUUUGUGUAAACAGGAAUGAAGUACAUCUCCACUGGAAAUGGAAGGGAUCCAAAAAUAAAUUGGCAGGAUAAUCUGAAUCUACCCUUGCUCUGAUUUUCGUCUUCACUGUGCCUGUACGAACUGCGAAGCGCACUGGAGAACAUCCGCUGUGCAGGAUGGAACGCUGCUCCACCAGUUCCUCUCUCGCUCUCACAAUCUUGUCCAUUGAAACACUUUUCGUUGUGGGAGAACCAUGGGGGUUGAGGCAUUCUGUAGAAUUUACAUGUCUAGUUUGUAAAGUGUGUAACGUGUACUGCAGAUGUGUAUUCUCUGGGCUCUAUGUAUCUUUACAGUAGUGUUCAAUUUAGGAAAAAAUAAAUUGUGGACACGUUUUGCUGGUAACAAGGGGAAAUUUUUUGCCAUUGCAUCAAACGAUGCUGAAAUGUAUUAAACUCUUGAUAGCAGAUCUCACCCUCCUUCCCCCAUCCCGUGGAGAUAAGUCUUUUAUCUUCGUUCUAAAAUUCUAUCAGAGAUGGAUGGAUACACUGGCAGACUGCAUGAUGUAUCAUUCGAAAACCGUUACAGUGGAAAAUAAAAUUGAACUAAACUUUG